AAUACAAUACAACAAAAACAAUUUUAAGCAGCUUUUAAAUUAUGGACAUUUCCGAGAUUUUACCGCACGGUUUAGGAAGCAAUUUGAUGUUUUCGGAGAUUUUACCGCACGGUUUGAAUUUUGACGUUGUCGAUUCUGACGGUUAUGUCAGUGAAUGUAUUCGUGUUGUUUUGCAACAAUGUACCCAAAAACUAAUACACAGAAAAAUGGCAUGCAAUACAUCAGACAAUUUAAAUACUACGUGCUAUAAGCUACAAUUAAAAUCUAGUGGACUAGUCGAGCAGAAAUAAUCAUGCCCAUAAGUUCCAAUGACAACGGAAUGGGGUUCUCUACGUAUCAGUAAACUUGCAGUAGGCUGCCAGUCUACCAGAUUGGUGGAGAAUAUCAUCAAUAUGUUCGCACCAACAAAACUACACGAAUACAGUCACUGACAUGACCGUCAGAAUCGACAAACGUCAAAAUCCCAAGCUUGGAAAAUAUCUCCGAAAACAUCAGAUCGCUGCCAAAUCCGUGCGGUAAAAUCCGGGAAAUGUCCGAAAUGGCUCGGAUUCGUGGGAAACGAAACUGACGUGGUAAAGUGGCGCUUCCCGCACACUAGAUCGGUGGCGCUGACCGAAUUUAAGACGGUCAACGCGUCGAAUCAAGUUACGACGUCGGUUUUCGUGUUUGAAAUGCGAUUAGAGAAUAAGCCCGGGGCUAAUGUCGCGUCGUUUCUCGACGUUGCGGUAUGCGAAAAGGGGCAAGAAAUAAACUAAAAUAAACUACACGCAUUUCGGCAGACGUUUUGGGUGAACGCACGAGUCCAAAGAUAGCUUCGGACAUGGGCGUAGACUGUGGGGCCACUUAUCAAAUGUGUAAAACGGAGAAAGAAGAAAAUUAUUAAAGACAUGAUAAGAAUAUUCAGAUUUUCCAUUGGAACCAUGAACUCGUGACGUCUUCUUUCGAGUUAGUUUUGUUUUUAUAUUCAAUGACUAAAAGUUUUAAAUGAUAAGUUUAAUUGGAUAAUGGUUAUAGCCUUUAAAGACAAACACUUUCGCCAUUUACGCCAGGUAACGUAGUCCUUAAACUUAAGUAAGAUACCCAUUUUCGCGAAAAUUCGUCUUAGGUGAGAGAAAUAUGGUUUACAAUAGAACUGUGGUCUGUGGCGCCCUAUAUCACAGAACACGAAUCAAAGUCGUUGGUUGUGCAUAAUUGCCAGCGAAUUGGAUUUAAACUGGAAUGGCAACGCCGUGAUAGAAAAGUGAGGCAAAUUUUAUCAAAGAAUAUGGAGAUUAUUAUCAUUCUUUUGCUCAUUUAUAUAAAUGGAAGAUUACUUCGUUUGUCGAUAUAAUUCUUAUUGAAAUCAUUUACUGGUGAUCAUAUCAAUAAUUUUAAGCUCUUUAAAAACUGCAAAAAACGAGCAUAUUUAUAUGUACACUUCAAAACUCAAAACAAUGAAGCUUUUGUAACUUAAAUAACUAUGUAUUAUUUCAAAAAGAAACUUAAUAUGCGCACGUCUACUUACCUAAAUAUGUAUAUUUAACCGAUAUUUUUUAUUUCUUGAAAAAGGAAAAAAAUUUAAAUAUUCUUUUCGGACUGUUAUGUAUGACAAUCCAAUAAGUAAAGAAUAUCGAAAUAAAAUAAAUAAGAACUAAAAUAUUCUCACGAAAUUAUAUAUUUUCACAUGGCAAAUGUCGGACUUUUAUGUAUGACAAUCCAAUAGGUAAAGAAUAUCGAAAUAAAAUAAAUAAGAACUAAAAUAUUCUCACGAAAUUAUAUAUUUUCACAUGACAAUUGUCGGACUUUUAUGUAUGACAAUCCAAUAGGUAAAGAAUAUCGAAAUGAAAUAAAUAAGAACUAAAAUAUUCUCACGAAAUUAUAUAUUUUCACAUGACAAUUGUCGGACUUUUAUGUAUGACAAUCCAAUAGGUAAAGAAUAUCGAAAUAAAAUAAAUAAGAACUAAAAUAUUCUCACGAAAUUAUAUAUUUUCACAUGACAAUUGUUUCGACAACACCGUGUCUUUAUCAAAUGUAAUAUUUAGAAACUACCUCCUACUAUGUAUUCCGAAAAAUGACAAUAAAACCUAAAUUAAUGUUGUGAGAAUUUAAGUUUAAUAAUACAUUUGAACGUCUCAUUUUGUUAAUCUCCAUGGCUUCCAAUAAAUUAAAUUUUCUACUUUUUGUGGCUGUAUGUAAAAUAUCAAAAUUGUCGUCAAAAAUGUUUUUUCUGUGUUUAACUGUUUAGCAUAAUUAGAAUCUAGACUAUUGUUUUUAAACGCUCUUUUAUGUUCGUUAAUGCGUUUCUUGAAGGAUCUACCUAAUAAGCCACAGUUCAAUUUUCGAAUAUCGAAUUCAUUUUUAUUUGUAAAAAAGACGUCCCAAUAAACAUAAUAAAAUUUGUCUCCCAAAAUCGAUAUUUUCUGAAUAAGAGCGACACUAUUGUUCCAAAUGUAAAAAUUAAAACUGCCCGCCUACGACGCUGAGUGUCUGAGUCCCGAAAUAACUCACUCGACAGCCGGAAAUUCCUUCGGGAUUUAGGGAAAAAAUCGUUAAGGAACAUCGGGCACGUCAUCGCGUACCCUAGGAAAUAAAAAAUCAACCAUUAGUCGAGGCUUCAAUCGAGAUCGUACUUUUUCUUCCCCCGAGGCGCAAAUCUCUUCGCCGAUUUAACGCGACGACCGGUUCCGCCGAAGAAAGUUCUAAAAGUGGGGUAAACGUUUUCCCCACGGGGCUUUUCAGCUUUCCUGGCGCGACCUUGAUCUAGGUCGCUUUUUUGGAAACAACUCACGGCCUCCUCGAUUAGGUAAAUGUCACCGCGAACGUCGCCCACCCACC